rnacentral:rRNA from 1 species
ACAACGCUGGCGGCGUGCCUAACACAUGCAAGUCGAACGAAGCACUGCAGAAAGAGACUUCGGUCAAUUGAAGCUUUGACUUAGUGGCGGACGGGUGAGUAAUGCAUGAGCAGUCUGCCCUGGAGUGGGGGACAACAGUUGGAAACGACUGCUAAUACCGCAUGAUGUCACGGGAGGGCAUCCUCCUGUGACCAAAGAUUUAUCGCUCUGGGAUGAGCUCAUGUCUGAUUAGGUAGUUGGCGGGGCAACGGCCCACCAAGCCUACGAUCAGUAGCCGGACUGAGAGGUUGAACGGCCACAUUGGGACUGAGAUACGGCCCAGACUCCUACGGGAGGCAGCAGUGGGGAAUAUUGGGCAAUGGGCGCAAGCCCUGACCCAGCAACGCCGCGUGAAGGAAGAAGGCUUUCGGGUUGUAAACUUCUUUUAUCAGGGACGAAGAAAAUGACGGUACCUGAAGAAUAAGCCACGGCUAACUACGUGCCAGCAGCAGC